rfam:Asian citrus Psyllid, Diaphorina citri - Florida Strain, whole genome shotgun sequence.
GCCGAGUUAGCUCGGUGGGUAGAGCAUCUGCCUUGUAAGCGCUUGGCCGUGGGUUAGAGUCCCACUCGGGGCG